rnacentral:rRNA from 1 species
UACGUAGGGUGCGAGCGUUGUCCGGAAUUAUUGGGCGUAAAGAGCUCGUAGGCGGUCUGUCGCGUCGGUCGUGAAAACCUGCAGCUUAACUGUGGGCGUGCGGUCGAUACGGGCAUGACUGGAGUUCGGCAGGGGAGACUGGAAUUCCUGGUGUAGCGGUGAAAUGCGCAGAUAUCAGGAGGAACACCGGUGGCGAAGGCGGGUCUCUGGGCAGUAACUGACGCUGGAGGAGCGAAAGCGUGGGGAGCGAACAGG